rnacentral:rRNA from 1 species
GACGAACGCUGGCGGCGUGCUUAACACAUGCAAGUCGAGCGGUAAGGCCCUUUCGGGGGUACACGAGCGGCGAACGGGUGAGUAACACGUGGGUGACCUGCCCUCAGCUCUGGGAUAAGCCUGGGAAACUGGGUCUAAUACUGGAUAUGACUCCACGGUGCAUGUCGUGGGGUGGAAAGCCUUGUGCGGCUGAGGAUGGGCCCGCGGCCUAUCAGCUUGUUGGUGGGGNGAUGGCCUACCAAGGCGACGACGGGUAGCCGGCCUGACGAGGGCGACCGGCCACACUGGGACUGAGACACGGCCCAGACUCCUACGGGAGGCAGCAGUGGGGAAUCUUGCGCAAUGGGCGAAAGCCUGACG